rnacentral:rRNA from 1 species
GAUGAACGCUGGCGGCGUGCCUAAUACAUGCAAGUCGAGCGAACGGACGAGAAGCUUGCUUCUCUGAUGUUAGCGGCGGACGGGUGAGUAACACGUGGAUAACCUACCUAUAAGACUGGGAUAACUUCGGGAAACCGGAGCUAAUACCGGAUAAUAUUUUGAACCGCAUGGUUCAAAAGUGAAAGACGGUCUUGCUGUCACUUAUAGAUGGAUCCGCGCUGCAUUAGCUAGUUGGUAAGGUAACGGCUUACCAAGGCAACGAUGCAUAGCCGACCUGAGAGGGUGAUCGGCCACACUGGAACUGAGACACGGUCCAGACUCCUACGGGAGGCAGCAGUAGGGAAUCUUCCGCAAUGGGCGAAAGCCUGACGGAGCAACGCCGCGUGAGUGAUGAAGGUCUUCGGAUCGUAAAACUCUGUUAUUAGGGAAGAACAUAUGUGUAAGUAACUGUGCACAUCUUGACGGUACCUAAUCAGAAAGCCACGGCUAACUACGUGCCAGCAGCCGCGGUAAUACGUAGGUGGCAAGCGUUAUCCGGAAUUAUUGGGCGUAAAGCGCGCGUAGGCGGUUUUUUAAGUCUGAUGUGAAAGCCCACGGCUCAACCGUGGAGGGUCAUUGGAAACUGGAAAACUUGAGUGCAGAAGAGGAAAGUGGAAUUCCAUGUGUAGCGGUGAAAUGCGCAGAGAUAUGGAGGAACACCAGUGGCGAAGGCGACUUUCUGGUCUGUAACUGACGCUGAUGUGCGAAAGCGUGGGGAUCAAACAGGAUUAGAUACCCUGGUAGUCCACGCCGUAAACGAUGAGUGCUAAGUGUUAGGGGGUUUCCGCCCCUUAGUGCUGCAGCUAACGCAUUAAGCACUCCGCCUGGGGAGUACGACCGCAAGGUUGAAACUCAAAGGAAUUGACGGGGACCCGCACAAGCGGUGGAGCAUGUGGUUUAAUUCGAAGCAACGCGAAGAACCUUACCAAAUCUUGACAUCCUUUGACAACUCUAGAGAUAGAGCUUUCCCCUUCGGGGGACAAAGUGACAGGUGGUGCAUGGUUGUCGUCAGCUCGUGUCGUGAGAUGUUGGGUUAAGUCCCGCAACGAGCGCAACCCUUAAGCUUAGUUGCCAUCAUUAAGUUGGGCACUCUAAGUUGACUGCCGGUGACAAACCGGAGGAAGGCGGGGAUGACGUCAAAUCAUCAUGCCCCUUAUGAUUUGGGCUACACACGUGCUACAAUGGACAAUACAAAGGGCAGCGAAACCGCGAGGUCAAGCAAAUCCCAUAAAGUUGUUCUCAGUUCGGAUUGUAGUCUGCAACUCGACUACAUGAAGCUGGAAUCGCUAGUAAUCGUAGACCAGCAUGCUACGGUGAAUACGUUCCCGGGUCU